CAGCCGCCGCGGGAAUACAGAGGGUGCGAGCGUUAAUCGGAUUUACUGGGCGUAAAGCGUGUGUAGGUUGUUGUUCAAGUCAGUUGUGAAAUCCCUGGGCUCAACCUGGGAACUGCUUCUGAGACUGAACGACUAGAGUACGGUAGAGGGUGGUGGAAUUUCCGGUGUAGCGGUGAAAUGCGUAGAUAUCGGAAGGAACAUCAAUGGCGAAGGCAGCCACCUGGGCCUGUACUGACACUGAGACACGAAAGCGUGGGGAUCAAACAGGAUUAGAUACCCGUGUAGUCCCUGUCUCUUAUAC
rnacentral:rRNA from 1 species